rnacentral:tRNA from 1 species
GCUCCUGUAGUGAAACGGAUAUCACAGCGGUCUUCGGAACCGUUAGUCCAAGUUCGAUUCUUGGCGGGAGCA